rnacentral:rRNA from 1 species
UACGGGGGGGGCAAGCGUUGUUCGGAAUUACUGGGCGUAAAGGGCUCGUAGGCGGCCAACUAAGUCAUACGUGAAAUCCCUCGGCUUAACCGGGGAACUGCGUCUGAUACUGGAUGGCUUGAGUUCGGGAGAGGGAUGCGGAAUUCCAGGUGUAGCGGUGAAAUGCGUAGAUAUCUGGAGGAACACCGGUGGCGAAGGCGGAUCUCUGGGCCUUACCUGACGCUCAGGUGCGAAAGCUAGGGGAGCGAACAGG